CAUAAGAUAUAAUUGCCUUAUGUGAAAAAGUAUUUUUAUUAAAAUCUAUUCUCUCAAUAAAAAAAAUUGUGUUGUCAUAAGAUAUAAUUGUAUUUUUAUUAAAAUCUAUUCUCCCAAUUUCUUGAAAGUACGUAUAGUUAUGAGGACCUUUUCUCUCUCUCUUAUUUUUUUUUUUUUUGUGUUCUAUAUACCAGGAUGCAUUGAUACAUAGGUCAUACUUCCGGUUUCGUGUUGUCAUUCCUGGAUUCUCGUGCACAAUACACGUAUAAGGAUUGUGAUAAAAUAUAAUUGCCUUAUGUGAAAAGUUUUUUUUGUUCUAUAUACCAGGAUGCAUCGUAUACAUCGGCCAUACUUCCGGUUUCGUGUAGUCAUUCCUGAAUUCUCCUGCACAAUAUAAGGAUUGUUUAUAUUUCUUAUACAGGUACAAUGUUUCUCAAGACCAAAAUAAAAAGCCCUCCCAAGGUCGUUAGAAAGAUGCUGAACCC